rnacentral:sRNA from 1 species
UGAUAGUCAGCGGUGAGCGCCUCCGCUUC